rnacentral:tRNA from 1 species
CAAUAUAUGAUGAUGAACUGUAAAUUCAUUUUAGCUACAUAAAAAGACUUCACCC